rnacentral:rRNA from 1 species
ACAGAGGGGGCAAGCGUUGUCCGGACUGACUGGGCGUAAAGCGCGCGUAGGCGGCUUUGUAAGUUAGAGGUGAAAGCCCGGGGCUCAACCCCGGAAUUGCCUUUAAAACUGCAUCGCUUGAAUCCGGGAGAGGUGAGUGGAAUUCCGAGUGUAGAGGUGAAAUUCGUAGAUAUUCGGAAGAACACCAGUGGCGAAGGCGGCUCACUGGACCGGUAUUGACGCUGAGGUGCGAAAGCGUGGGGAGCAAACAGGA